rnacentral:rRNA from 1 species
AGUGAACGCUGGCGGCAGGCCUAACACAUGCAAGUCGAGCGGCAGCGGGUCCUUCGGGAUGCCGGCGAGCGGCGGACGGGUGAGGAAUGCAUCGGAAUCUGCCUCUAUGUGGGGGAUAACGUAGGGAAGCUUACGCUAAUACCGCAUACGACCUACGGGUGAAAGCCGGGGACCUUCGCGCCUGGCGCAGAGAGAUGAGCCGAUGCCGGAUUAGCUAGUUGGCGGGGUAAAGGCCCACCAAGGCGACGAUCCGUAGCUGGUCUGAGAGGAUGAUCAGCCACACUGGAACUGAGACACGGUCCAGACUCCUACGGGAGGCAGCAGUGGGGAAUAUUGGACAAUGGGCGCAAGCCUGAUCCAGCCAUGCCGCGUGAGUGAAGAAGGCCUUCGGGUUGUAAAGCUCUUUUGUUGGGGAAGAAAAGCUUCCGGUUAAUACCCGGGAGUCCUGACGGUACCCAAAGAAGAAGCACCGGCUAACUCUGUGCCAGCCGCCGCGGUAACAC